rnacentral:rRNA from 1 species
GAUGAACGCUAGCGGCAGGCUUAAUACAUGCAAGUCGAGGGGCAUCAAGGUACACGAAAGUGUAUUGUUGGCGACCGGCGGACGGGUGAGUAAUAGGUAGGUAACCUACCUCAUACUGAGGCAUAGCUGGGAGAAAUUCCAGGUAAUUCCUCAUGAGGUUAUAUGACACAUGUGAUAUAAUCAAAGGUAUCGCAAGGUACUGGUAUGAGAUGGGCUUACUGACCAUUAGCUAGUUGGUGAGAUAAGAGCUCACCAAGGCGAAGAUGGUUAGGGGUUUUGAGAGAGAGAUCCCCCACAUUGGAACUGAGAUACGGUCCAGACUCCUACGGGAGGCAGCAGUGGGGAAUUUUGGACAAUGGGCGCAAGCCUGAUCCAGCCAUGCCGCGUGCAGGAUGAAGGCCUUCGGUUGUAACUGCUUUGUACGGAACGAAAAGACUCUUUCUAAUAAAGAGGGUCCAUGACGGUACCGUAAGAAUAAGCACCGGCUAACUACG